rnacentral:rRNA from 1 species
UGAGGAAUAUUGCGCAAUGGAGGCAACUCUGACGCAGCCAUGCCGCGUGCAGGAAGAAGGCGCUACGCGUUGUAAACUGCUUUUAACCGGGAAGAAACCCCAGGACGUGUCCUGGGUUGACGGUACCGGAGGAAUAAGCACCGGCUAACUUCGUGCCAGCAGCCGCGGUAAUACGAAGGGUGCAAGCGUUAUCCGGAUUCAUUGGGUUUAAAGGGUGCGUAGGCGGGGCCGUAAGUCAGUGGUGAAAUCCUGCAGCUUAACUGUAGAAUUGCCAUUGAUACUGCGGUUCUUGAGUACGCUUGAUGUGGGCGGAAUGUGCCGUGUAGCGGUGAAAUGCUUAGAUAUGGCACAGAACACCGAUCGCGAAGGCAGCUCACAAAGGCGAAACUGACGCUGAGGC